rnacentral:sRNA from 1 species
CAUCAUCACCAUCAUCCUGACUAGUCUUUCAGGCGAUGAGUGCUGGAAGACGUUUAGGUAACGCUUCCGGUGGUCUGAGUGCAGACAAUAAAAUAAAAACCCCGGAAGGCAACUUCCGGGGUUUUUUU